rnacentral:rRNA from 1 species
AAAACUUUCAACAACGGAUCUCUUGGUUCUGGCAUCGAUGAAGAACGCAGCNAAAUGCGAUAAGUAAUGUGAAUWGCAGAAUUCAGWGAAUCAUCGAAUCUUUGAACGCACAUUGCGCCCCUCGGUAUUCCGGGGGGCAWGCCUGUUCGAGCGUCAWU